rnacentral:lncRNA from 10 species
CCCUGGGACCCUCUUCACUGACCUGACCUCUCUGUCAUGAUUGCUUUCAGCUGACCUGGCUGGUUUAGGAGAAAACCUAGAAUUGUGGAGACCCAGAACCAAUCUCUGCCCUCUCUUAUCUCCAAGAGAGGAAGAAAAUAAUAGGUAUCACCAUGGAGAAAUGACCCACAUGAGGGCUGAGACUCUCCAGCAGUUAGAGCAGAGGAAACUCCCUGAAGAAGGGAGGAGCUGAGAUCCCAGGCUGGGAGAGCAGGCUUGUGUUAAGCAUUACUUAAUCUUUAAUUGCUCCCUGCCUGAAUCUACCAGCCAGCGAAUGACAACUGACUGAGUAUAAAUACUAGGACUACAGAACCGUGAUAAAAGGAGUCUCCUGCCCCUGGCCAGGGAGAGCCACAGGCUGGAUGACAUCUGGUUUAUAGUGAGGGGCAGCAGCAACUCCAAGAGGGGGAAGAUGUGACCAUGAGCCCCGCCCCAGACCCAGGAGGCUUGACCUUGGGGCUGCCGUAGCAGUGGAUGCUCUUCAGCUGAAUGACCUAUCCUGGGCCCGUGACCCUGGACUUCAGCCAGAUCAGCAUCUCAAGGUACAACCAACAUCUUGGCUCCAUGAUGGGUCAAAACAGUUAACACACCCAAGGUAUUCAAGGUAUCAGUAGCUACUGACUAUGUCCUGGCCAGCUGUGAAAAGAAAGGGGUGAAUUUAACAAGUAUUCUAAAAUUGUCCUUGACAUAGUAAUCACAGAUUAUCUAUCUUCUGUCUGGUAAUAUAUAUAUAUAUAUAUAUGUUUUUGUUUUUGUUGUUGUUGUUUUGUUUUUUUGUGACGGAGUUUCGCUCUUUUUACCCAGGCUGGAGUUCAAUGGCAUGAUCUCGGCUCACUGCAACCUCUGCCUCUGGGUUCAAGUGAUUCUCCUGCCUCAGCCUCCUGAGUAGCUGGGAUUACAGGUGUGUGCCACCACGCCCGGCUAAUUUCCUAUAUUUUUAGUAGAGACGGGUUUUCACCACGUCGGCCAGGCUGGUUUCGAACUCCUGACUUCAGGUGAUCCACCCACCUCGGCCUCCCAAAGUGCUGGGAUUACAGGCGUGAGCCACCACUCCCAGCCUCUGUCUGGUAAUUUAAAUGCUUUGGAGACUCCAAGAUUCACCCAUGUCCAAAAUAAAUUCUAUAUCAGUCAUAGUACUAGCAUUUAGAAGUUGUGUGUUUUAUCCUCUAAUUAUAGAUGAAAUACCUAAGGUGGAAAGGAGUAAAGCAGCUUCCAUGAAUGUAGUGAGAAUGUAGGGGGGUUAGGGACUAAAGUCCUGCCUUAGGAUUCCCCAGCAGUUGCCAGUCACAAUUUUUGUACUCUUAGAAACAACAACAACAACAACAAAAUGACAACCUGUUUUGUUCCUCUGCUUACCCUAUCCAAUUCUCUACACCAUAACAUCUCUGCUUAUCAAGACAACUUGGAUUCUCAAUUUGUUGAGCUCAACAAAUGCAUCUCUUGAGCCCCUGUGGGUAAAGCAUUAUGCUAGUUAUGGCGGGUGAUACAGAGGAAGCACAGAAGAGUCCUUAGUGACAAGAGCUUAAGAUUUCUGCUCUCAGCUCAGCCUGAGUUGCCUGCAG